AAUGCACGCUGGCGGCAGGCCUAACACAUGCAAGUCGAACGAGUGGCGGACGGGUGAGUCAUGUCUGGGAAACUGCCCGAUGGAGGGGGAUAACUACUGGAAACGGUACCUAAUACCGCAUACCAUUCGCUGUGCCCAGGUUGGAUUAGCUAGUAGGUGGGGUAACGGCUCACCUAGGCGAAGCUCCCUACCUGGUAUGAGAGGAUGACCAGCCACACUGGAACUGAGACACGGUCCAGACUCCUACGGGAGGCAGCAGGGGGGAAUAUUGCACAAUGGGCGCAAGCCUGAUGCAGCCAUGCCGCGUGUAUGAAGAAGGCCUUCGGGUUGUAAAGUACUUUCAGCGAGGAAGGGUUACUCGCAGAAGAAGCAUCGGCUAACUCCGUGCCAGCCGCCGCGGUAAUGC
rnacentral:rRNA from 1 species